GUGCUUGCUUCAGCAGCACAUGUACUAAAAUUGGAACAAUACAGAGAUUAACAUGGCUCCUUUGCGAAGAUGGCAUGCAAAUUCGUCGAGUUCCAUAUUUUU
ensembl:snRNA U6 U6 spliceosomal RNA